GAUGAACGCUGGCGGCGUGCCUAAUACAUGCAAGUCGAGCGAACGGACGAGAAGCUUGCUUCUCUGAUGUUAGCGGCGGACGGGUGAGUAACACGUGGAUAACCUGCCUAUAAGACUGGGAUAACUUCGGGAAACCGUAGCUAAUACCGGAUAAUAUUUUGAACCGCAUGGUUCAAAAGUGAAAGACGGUCUUGCUGUCACUUAUAGAUGGAUCCGCGCUGCAUUAGCUAGUUGGUAAGGUAACGGCUUACCAAGGCAACGAUGCAUAGCCGACCUGAGAGGGUGAUCGGCCACACUGGAACUGAGACACGGUCCAGACUCCUACGGGAGGCAGCAGUAGGGAAUCUUCCGCAAUGGGCGAAAGCCUGACGGAGCAACGCCGCGUGAGUGAUGAAGGUCUUCGGAUCGUAAAACUCUGUUAUUAGGGAAGAACAUAUGUGUAAGUAACUGUGCACAUCUUGACGGUACCUAAUCAGAAAGCCACGGCUAACUACGUG
rnacentral:rRNA from 1 species